GGAGUCUUGCUCUGUCCCUCAGGCUGGAGUGCAGCGGCGCCAUCUCAGCUGAAUGCAACCUCUGCCUCCUGGGUUCAAGAGAUUCUCCUGCCUCAGCCUCCCAAGUAGCUGGGAUUACAGAACGCAAAAGAUUCUUCAAAAUCAAACUGUGUCCGGAAUUGGUGGGUUCUUGGUCUCACUGACUUCAAGAAUGAAGCCACGGACCCUGGCGGUGAGUGUUACAGCUCUUAAGGUGGCGUUUCUGGAGUCUGUCCCUUCUGAUGUUCAGAUGUGUUCGGAGUUUCUUCCUUCUGGUGGGUUCGUGGUCUCGCUGGCUCAGGAGUGAAGCUGCAGAUCUUCACGGUUGCUAGUAACACAAUAAUAAAGCUGCUUUAUUUUCCAGUGAAGAUGUAUGUGAUAGGGAGUGGAGGAAGAAAAAGGCCAGAAAAUUCCAUAGUUAGCAAAUAUACCUUUCUUACUUAAAAUUCUUUUUCCAAUGUGAGCCUUCUAAAGAGUUACUGAGAAAUUAGGUGAGCUCACCUCAUUUAAUGCAAUAGAUAUGUUUCUGAAAAAUAAGCAAUACAUAGGACAUUGGCCAAUUAAGAAUUCUGAUGAAGAAGAAUUUUCACAUCCGAAAGAGUAAAAAUGAAAAACGGUACAAAUGUAGUGGCUUUUAAAUUUCAAAACAAAUUAUUUUGAUAAGAUAAAUAUUCCUCUCAUAAAGUGAAAAUGGAAGAGACUGCUUGCUGGGUGUUCGUCAAAAUGGAGUUAGAUGGUCUGUCCCAGACUCCCCUGUUGUUAGUUCUGAGAACAGAAGUAAUGGUGCUUCUUCAGGACUGGCUCAUAGAAACCUGCCGUGUUCAGCCCCCACAAUCCUCUCCCUUCUGCUGGCUGGAAACAAAUGACAACGAAGCCUCACGUCUUGGAGAAACCACACUGCUGAGGAACUCAAGUCCUAGAAGAACCAUUUGAAGAGACCCAUCUCACUAAAGAAAAUCACACAAGCAAGAAGUAAACUUCAUUGUAUCUAUGUAUUUAAUUGUCAUAACAGUCUACCUUAACUGAUACAGCAAAAAUUCGCUCCUUUUCUGGACACCCAGUUUCAAAA
rnacentral:lncRNA from 10 species